GCUCCUAUGGCUUAGUUGGUAAAGCGCAUCACUAGUAUUCUCAGUCAUGAUGAGAUCCUCGGUUCGAAUCCGAGUGGGAGCA
rnacentral:tRNA from 1 species